rnacentral:rRNA from 1 species
UACGUAGGGUGCAAGCGUUGUCCGGAAUUAUUGGGCGUAAAGAGCUCGUAGGCGGUCUGUCGCGUCGGCUGUGAAAUCCCGAGGCUCAACCUCGGGUCUGCAGUCGAUACGGGCAAACUGGAGUACUGCAGGGGAGACUGGAAUUCCUGGUGUAGCGGUGAAAUGCGCAGAUAUCAGGAGGAACACCGGUGGCGAAGGCGGGUCUCUGGGCAGUAACUGACGCUGAGGAGCGAAAGCGUGGGGGAGCGAACAGG